AUCGCGCCCGCGCCGCCAUAUCCUCGGCCACCAUCCCCCACACGGCCGCCUCCUUCCUCUCCCUCCACUGCACGCUUCCCACGGGAUCCUGCCGACAGGCAUCUAAUCUUGCCGCCUAGAGCUACCAUGCGUCGGAUCUUGCAAGUUUUUCUCUGUUCCAGGCGUCGUUGCCAGCCCACCUCCAUGACCGCAGCCCACCUUGUGCUCGCGGGCCAAGGUCGCUGGGGUUCAGCAUCGGCGACGACUUCACCAUCGCACAGGAAGUUCAUGUAAAUCUGUUGCAAAGGUUCAGCUUGAGAGCGAGAGAGAGAUUAGCUGCUGUUGCUGUCCAUGUUUUUCUGGUUUGAACUUGCUGUUGUCCGUGGUUGAAGGAAUGAUAAGAGACGGUCUUCCUGUGUAUCAUUAACAUGAGCAGAGGAUCUUGCUCUCUCCCUUGCGGUCGUGACUUUGGAUGGCUUCUGGUCAACUACAGGUUGGAAGUUCAACAUGUGAGAUGAAGUUAGAAGUUCAUCUUCUGUUCACAUUCAGAUUGCUUGCCACCGCCACGCAUUCCUCCGGAAAUAGCCGCCUUGCAUCCCACUGUCGGCCACGCGAUGCUACCAGCGCACUGCCCCCGGCCGAGCCAUCCACCAGCAGACGAGCCGGCUCUGGCUGUGCUCGAGGUCGCCUGGAUCUUCCCUGCUCGAGGACAAGUUCUACUACAACCAUGGAUUAACAGUAAGUUCUACUUCAUCUAUACAAAGUCCGGGGAUUACAUACCAUCUACUCGGACUUGGUAAACAUGCACUUUUUGUUAGUCUGCUGUUCUAGAUACAUUCAUUUUCAUCCAUUUUGAUGACAAGUAUUUCCGGACGGAGGGAGCUACUGAGUGCACUACACGAGAGUUUGUCAAAAAUUGGAAAAAAUGCUAUUAAAAAAAUUCCAAACUUUUUGAAAUUUUGCGACAUCAAACUCUAUGAAAUGUUUGAGGUUUGUGGAAAACUCCAUCCAAAAAUAACAUCCCAGGAGAUCUGCACCCAAGAGUAGAAAAUCAACUCUCGUAAGAGCAUCUCCAAUAGAAUCCCUCUCCAACAGAUGAUGUAGAUGUAAAAAAAUUACAUUCCACCUCCCAAAGAUGUAAAAUACAACACCUGGAGAUGCAAAUUAGCAUCUCCACCUACAGGAGAUGUAAAAACGAUGGCCGCGCGCCAACUGCCCAGCUGCCUUCAGUUUGCUUCUGCCCGCCCGACGACUACCCAAUUACGCCGCCGGCGAUUUCGCCAAAAAUCACCGCUGCCGCCGCCACCUUCCCGCAUGUCCCCCGCCGCCAUGCUCGCCGGAGUAGCGAUUGCUGUCCCCCACAGCCGCCGAUUCGAUUUCGGCCGCUGCUUCAAAUCGAAGAUUCGCCAGAGGCCCGGCUGUCGUAAUGGCAUCGAUGGCACGGCUGUGGAAGGGUUGGGCUUUCUGCUAGCCUCGACCCACUACCGGAGCUAGGGGAGGCGUGCCACGCCGCCCGCUAGCCUCGACCCAGUCAUUUUUGUUGAGCAUAAUGGUAGAUAUCAUAACUCUCAUCCGCAAAAAAAAAGACAUAGUCAUAACUCAAACUCAGAACCCAUAAUAACUGAUUAUUUUUAUUGGUUAAAUCUGCAUGCGUUUCAUACGGAAACCACGCCAACACAUCUGUCUAGUGCAUCUUGUUAAUUCGUCCAGCUAACUUCACAUGUCUAAACAGCACUUCCCCUCCAAUAUAUAUUUCACCGUCUUUGUGUGCACAUGCAGGAAAGCUCGACAUCUCUAAAGCAUCAAAGCCUUACACUUUUCACAUAACUCUCUUGAAUGUUUCAUAUAAUAGACAAGUUUCAGUGAAGAGAAACAUCGUAGAACAUGUAUGACUAGGAGGCAUAGGGAAAGAAACAAAUACAGAGGUUGUGCAUUCAGCAUGUAGCGAGAAGCAUCGUGUUGCUACUGUGGUGCGUUUCCCAUACACGCGUGUGUCAUAUCAAACAAGUGGGCCUUCCACAUCUUAAUCCUUGUUAUACAUGACAUGACGAGGCUGAUUGUUGGGCAGGUCAUGCUGGUUUACCCCGUUGACCUGCCACCGCACAGUCAACCGCAGAAAGCGCCGACCUAGGGGAUUAUGAUUGUAGUUCCAGGGAACGAGAUGAGCAAUACAUGCGAGUUGUAAGACUUAUUACUUUCAUUUUUUGUUUUACCACAAAAUGUGUAAGAAAUUAUUUAUGAAGCUGCAAUGAGCAUUUAGUAGAAUAAGUGCGACUAGACUCCUUAUGCACUAGAUAGGAAAACAAAAACAUUUCAACAAAUAUUCAGUAUUUACAUUCAAAAUUGAAAAAUCAUGGAUUACACAAGGAUAGCAAAAAAAAAAAAAUCCGUCAUUUUCCUUGGCACAAAAUGGAAGACUUUACACGUGUGACGAAAUAUUUCACUAGAACUGCUUAUUCACUAGAGAUGAAAACAAAAAUAUUUCAACAAAUAUUCAGUAUUUACCUUCAAAAUUGAAAAAGUCAUAGAUUAUGAAUGGAUAGCUAAAGCAAAAUCCGUCAUUUACGAUGGCACAGAAUGGAAGGCUUUACAUGUGUCGAAGGCUCUGCUCGGACGAGGAUUUUUUGAGCAGCUGCGCUGGGGCCGCGUUAUCCUGGCUCUCGAAUCAUUGCGCUGUACCUCGAGAUGCCCGUCACAGAAUCUAGUUUUAGCGUACCUGUUACGGUGGCAGCUGGCUGUUACGGUCAUUGUCGCCAUAGGGUACAACUCCAUCAUAUAGGCUCUGUGAUUUUUUGUCUUCCACCUCCCCGCACAUACCGACGCGAACCCGUGAAUACGACUCACGUCUCUCUCUACACACCGCCCUGCUCGUUCUUUGACUUGUUGCUCUAAUGGAUUGGGUGCAAGGAGGCCAUUCGACGGCGCCGGCGCUCGGCCGCCUGGAAACCUGCACUUCUGAAUUCAACCAGAUCCAACCCGCCCGCCGGCGAUCCAUUCUUCUCAGGCAGGCAGAUCAAUGCAGGCACUCAAGUGGUUGGAGGCGGAUCUAAUGUGGCACUCAAGCAUCCCGAAUACUGCGCCUAUAUAUUUGACCACAUGUCUAAUUAAUACCUUCCCCUCCUAUAUAUUUGACCACAUGUUUGCGUGCAAACAAAUGAAAGCCGGCAUCUCUCAUUUAUCAGUGCUUUACACUUCCACACUGCUCUCUGUUGAACAUUUCGUAUAAUAACUACUCCCUCCGUUCCAAAAUAGAUGACCCUACUUUGUACUAAAGUUAGUACAAAGUUGGGUCAUCUAUUUUGAAACGGAGGGAGUAGGUUUUAGUGCACACAAACAUAGGGGCUUAGGGCGGAUACAACAUCAAGACGAUAUUAGUAAAUAUGUCUGAUUAGGAGGCAUAGCAAAAUAAACAAAUACUAGGGCGGCAUCAUAACCGAGUUGUAAGAACCAUUCUGUUGCCACAAUGUUGUUUUACCUAUACAUGUAUCGAACAAGCUUGACUUCUGUGGAUUAUGCAAGACGAUAUUGUUGAAGAAACAACAGCAGGAGAAGAGGUAGUGACCAGUGGAGGCUUCCCUGAUGCGGGUGUCCACCUUGCAUCUCCAUCGCGCUAUGCGUAGAGGUUAGCCAGCUUCUAUGCAUGCCCAUGUCUAUGCCUCUAACUGACCUGAUAGACUGCCUUCUUCACGAGAUCACCUUGUACCGUGACCUUGUACCAUGACCUCCUCACAUUUAUUGGUACAUGAUGUUCUUGGCAAGCAACCUUCUCGUUCGACCCAUUAAAGUUUGGGACAAUUGCAUUUUUACCCCUAGUUGGUUCC